AGCACAGUGUGGGAACUGAGCUGCCUUAGACACAAAAGUGUUACCUGCUUCCUUGUCCUGCAUUGUGGAAGAAUGUUGCCUGCCCUUAAGCUAAGCUGCCUGCUGGACAGAAGGACUCUGCAGACUGCAUCAGUGGCUACCAGAACAGGCAAAAGUCAGUCUUGAGGAGCACUAAAGGUAAUGCAGCAAGUCUGACUGCUUGUGCAGGAAAGGUGCCAAAGGAGCUAGUGCACAGCUUGGGUCACAGAGCCUCCCUCCAAGCUGGGCACAAUGACAAGAACUUUAAUUUCUUCAAAUACUCAUGUCAUUUUGGGAUUCUCAGGCCUCCAGCUCUUCCUCUAUCAAAGUAUUCUUCAGAAUACAUCAAUCUAUUUAAACAGAAAAGCUUCUGCAAGACACACCUUAAAGGUAUGUAAUCUCAGCUUUGCAAGUGUGUGAAAAUGUAAUUUGCAUACAGGACUUUUUAAAACUUUACAAUGUUAACCCUGAGAAAAAAAAAGUCUGUUUUCUCCUGUUAACUUUAUAAUACAUUUUAUUUUUAGCAAGCCCUUUCUCCCAUUUCUAAUCUAUAAAAGCUGAUGAAUGAGAAGACUGAUGGCCACAGGUGGCCCUUUUUUUUCCACUCCACAUUUGUUACCAAGGACUAAGGUGUGUGAGCUCAUCAGGGGUUUUCUAAGUGUUAAAAAAGGAGGAGGGGGGGAUUUUUCUUGCUUUUUUUUUUUCCUUGUGGAAGUUGGGUUCCUAGAACAAGCUCCAUUUUAAUACACUUUUCUCUGUAAUCAAUGUCUCUUGUAUUAACUCUGUCAGGAUGGCCUUUUCUAAGAGUAAUUUCACUCAAAGAGUAAAACUUAAAGGAUUCUCUAAUGCAAUUCUUUCACUAUGACAAGAAAUUUCUGCUUCCAAAACCUCCAGUACAAUUUCUUCCAACUCUUUUCUUUUCUCCCACCAAGGCUGAAUCUCAUAUUUAGCACCAAAAAAACCUCUAAAAACAGUAUUUCACAUUCUAAAAUCUUUUACAAAAAGAGCAAAAAUAAUCCAUU